rnacentral:rRNA from 1 species
ACGAACGCUGGCGGCAUGCCUAACACCUGCAAGUCGAACGAGACCUUCGGGUCUAGUGGCGCACGGGUGCGUAACGCGUGGGAACCUGCCCUUAGGUUCGGAAUAACUCCCCGAAAGGGGUGCUAAUACCGGAUAAUGUCUUCGGACCAAAGAUUUAUCGCCUUUGGAUGGGCCCGCGUUGGAUUAGCUAGUUGGUAGGGUAAAAGCCUACCAAGGCGACGAUCCAUAGCUGGUCUGAGAGGAUGAUCAGCCACACUGGGACUGAGACACGGCCCAGACUCCUACGGGAAGUAGCAGUGGGGAAUAUUGGACAAUGGGCGAAAGCCUGAUCCAGCAAUGCCGCGUGAGUGAUGAAGGCCUUAGGGUUGUAAAGCUCUUUUACCCGGGAUGAUAAUGACAGUACCGGGAGAAUAAGCUCCGGCUAACUCCGUG